CUUCGGUCUAAUCGCGUAUGGAAUAUCGGAAUUCGAAGCUUCCUUCGCACGAUGCCGACUGUCCAAUUUCGAGUAAAUUUUUUGCGAAUGAUGAGCGUGAUGGCUGAAACCGAACGAACUUCAAUAAUUCAUUAAUCUUUCGCAGAUACUCGCAUUGUCGUAUUUAGCGAGAUAGCGAAACAGUUAAAGUGAUAUGCUAUCAGGACCGCCUGUACCUAGCGUCACCGUGAAUAACGAUGACUUAAAGAACUAAAUUGAAAGUACGUAGUCGAAAUUUGAUUCAGUCGACGAUAAAAACUCGAUCGUUACGUUCGGUGUUCAGUUUUUUCAACUUGUACAUUGUUUUUUUUUCCAUCUGGCAUCCCUAAUAACAAAAGUAAGGCUAUCGACGUGAUAUUCGGCCGAUGAACUCGUAACAGUUCACCCUAAAUUAUGGAAAAAGAUGGACCUCUACCCCAGUACUCCGAAUCACCACCUCCCUACACCGUAUCAGCUGCACCGACGCAUCAUCUAAGGGCACCCCACACUGUUGUACCACCUCCUAGUUACUUCUCGGAACAAAAUUCGUACAACAAUGCGGAACCCGUGGUAUUUUCGACUCCGAGUUAUGGACAAGAACGUAUUAUUAUUCAGCAACCCGCAGGUACGACCGUACACGUUGCCAGCAACUAUUCGUCGCUCGGAACGGACCCGAAAUCAUUGGUUUGCAGACAAUGCGAUCGUAGGGUUACCACCAGGACGAUUCAGCAGCCAGAAAUGAGAGCACAUCUUUUGGCAGUUUCUUUGUGUUUAGUGGGAUGCUGGCCAUGCGUACCUUGCAUUUAUUUCACAGAUUGUUGUACGAGCACCAGCCAUUACUGUCCUUCUUGUAACGCAUAUCUAGGAACUCAUUUACCGAGACCAUGACGAUCAUAUAAAAAUUACAGGAAUCUUGUCGAUUACAUUUUUCAAUUAAAAACAAAAAGAAAAAAAAAACGUUAUAAUUGAAAGUCAAGUUAAGUGGCGUUAGAAAAGCCUCUCUUGACAUUGACUCUUCAAUAUUUAGCAACAAUGGCGAUGGAAAAUUCUUCUCUAUAAUUAGGAAUUUGGUUUACGCAGGUAAACCGAACGAGUAUCAGCCUGGACGCGAUAUUUGAGUUCGGCAUCGUAGACGGUGACAUAUUCUCAAGUCUGUACGUAUAUAAUAAGUGAAUAGCUGAAAUGCAAAAGCAUGUUUACAGACAUCUGCUUAUCUUUUUCGUGUAUUUUAGUUUAACGUCUGGCUUAAGUAGGCCAAAUUCAAAUAAUGCCUAUGACGAAAUAUUACACGAGUCGUACUUACAGCUUCUUCACCUUCGCGUGUAUUGACGCUCGUAUAUAAUUAUAACAAUUUCUCAACAUACCAGAAAAGUUCUAAUCGUGAGUAGUUUGAAAUAAGAUUGUCCUCGCGUACUUUUUCAGUUCUUAGGGUAUUACGUGUAAUUACCAACUCUUACGGAUAUGCCUCGCAAACAUUCGAAGCAUAUAAAGAUAACCGACUUAUACGGAAAACCUGAAUUUCUUCGAAAGAUUAGACCAAACUCAUGUCAAUUAGUAACGGCGCACACCGUCAAAUUAGUGAGAAUUCGAGCAAGAAUGAAUGGAAAAUCAAAAUGCAGUCGAGUUUGAAAAAUUGAUCCGAUGCUAGCUGACCGGAAAAUAUUCUGAAAACGUCGUCAUCAUUCUUAAGAUAUGUGAGCGAAGUUGGUCGGGUAGAGUAAACUUGAAAUAUCGACAAUGUUGACAAACAAGGUGAACGACGACGUCGAAGACCCCCGAAACUGUAUUGAAUGGUCGUCUAUAAUUACGAAAAUGUAAAGCUCAAGUUCAAUCACGUAAGACACGAGUGUACAGGUGUGUGUGUACACGGAACAUAUCGAUAAAAAUUCGAGAUAACUUACAUACGUAUAGUCCAAUUUACGGUGUUAUUGCGGAUGAGUCACGUGGAAUAUUUAUCCAGUCGCGCUAUCUCUCGCUCACCUCGGUUGUCUCGGCGAAGCCACGCAGUCAUCGUUUAAACUUGGAGUCGGUGACAUACAUCUACUUUACACCGUACGUAGAAGCAUAGAUACAAAAUUCAACAAAACGCAGUUCGGCAGUAAAUAGUCCAGUGUAAAAAUUUAGCGCGAAACGAGAAGAGGCGAAGAAAUAUUUCAGAAACAUGUACGGAGGACCUCACAAUCAACACUAUCCUCCUCAAGGACCACCGCAACCUGGUUUCGCACCACAAUACGGCCCUCCGCCUCCCUACGGGCAACCACCGGUGAUGCAACAACCGCCUCCAAACACAACCGUCUACGUCGUGCCGGCCCCGGAACAGCAACAGAGCAGAGGUAUAAGUACGGGAGAAGCUGUAUGCUGCGGUUGUUGUCUUGCGUGUUGUCUGUCGAUGUGUUCACCGUGUGAUCUUUUCUAAUAUAUAUGAGCGGGUAUAACUAAAAUUAUAAAAAAAUGGACGACGAUGUUGCUAAUAGGUAUCGAUUACCGACUCGCAAUCAAUAAUAAUUGCGGGUGGGAUAGACUGAUUUUCUUUGAAUAAUGAACGAGAAUCAAGGUAAUUCCGAAAGAAUGUUCAGAGAAAUAAAUUGAAAAUACCAUCCAACGCGACGAGAUAGAAACUAAGAAAAUGGGAACGCACAAUUUCUUGUGCGUAUGAAUGGAGUAAUAAUACACCCAAUUAAAUAUCAUCGUACAAAAUGCAGCAGAGGUAAAUGGAAGGUGAUGGAAAUUCGCACGAUGACGAGGACUUUCGGAAUUUGUAUGAGGAAACAAAUGAUAAUUCAAUAUUAUAUCGUCUGAAAAUCAAGCUAAUGAGCUCCAUCGGAAUUCCGACGAACGUGAUACUUCAGACCUUCAAAUUAAAUCAGCAUUUGCGAGAGUGAUUGUGUAAGUGAAAAUAUACAUAUAAUGUACUGUAACGUGUAAAAUAAUAGUGUCCAUGAACAUACGAAAAGAUAACAUAUAGGAAUCCGUCAUAAGAUGUAAAAACCCAUUGUAAAGAUAAAAAAACAAAUAAUAAUAGCAAUUUUAAGAAUAAUGAGAAAAAUGUAAACUACAUCGUAUUGAAAAGUGAUAAACUGUUCAGUCUAGUCGUGAAUAUAUAUGUUUUAUAAUGAUUGAUGAUGUAAUGAGGAGUAGGAGUGUUCGGUUUUUCUAAUACAUAUAGUUGUACAUUCA